UUGAACGCUGGCGGUAUGCCUUACACAUGCAAGUCGAACGGCAGCACGGGGGCAACCUUGGUGGCGAGUGGCGAACGGGUGAGUAAUAUAUCGGAACGUACCCUAGAGUGGGGGAUAACGUAGCGAAAGUUACGCUAAUACCGCAUACGAUCUACGGAUGAAAGUGGGGGCUCGCAAGACCUCAUGCUCAUGGAGCGGCCGAUAUCUGAUUAGCUAGUUGGUGAGGCAAAGGCUCACCAAGGCGACGAUCAGUAGCUGGUCUGAGAGGACGACCAGCCACACUGGGACUGAGACACGGCCCAGACUCCUACGGGAGGCAGCAGUGGGGAAUUUUGGACAAUGGGGGCAACCCUGAUCCAGCAAUGCCGCGUGAGUGAAGAAGGCCUUCGGGUUGUAAAGCUCUUUUGUCAGGGAAGAAACGGUGAAGGCUAAUAUCCUUUGCUAAUGACGGUACCUGAAGAAUAAGCACCGGCUAACUACGU
rnacentral:rRNA from 1 species